CUAGUGAACAUUUAAUCAAAAUUUAUAAUUAUAGAUGGAUUAUAGACUUUGUUAUUUGGCCAACAAAUAAAACAUCUGACCAGAUCUGAUUAAAAUUGAAAUAGAAAUUGAAGUAAAUUGAAGUAGAAAUAAAACAUCUUCAUAGUUGCUGCUUGUUGCACUAUGAUCAAUAGCUGCUGCUAUAAUAGACUUGGUUAUGGAGAAAUUUAAUUAAGAUAUAAAUAUCAUCAACAAACUUUGAUAGUUCUUCAGUGAGAAGUGAUGUGAAUUCUUAUUUUCUAACAAUAUGAAUUUUAUUGUUGAUCAUAUGCCACUGUUCUAAAAUGGCUUCCCAUCAAUUAUAAGUUGGAUAAUUUAGCACCGCAUUUUUUGUUUUUCUUUUCUGUGGUUGCUUUUUUCAUUUUAUACCUUAUCUUUUUUCACAGAAUUCCAGUAACGAGUCUUUAAUUGGAAGCUUUCAGCUUGCGUUUUCCUUAAGAAAUAUAGCUCUUAAUGGAGGUAAGUUCCUCAAGUUUUUAUAUUCUACUUUUAUUUUACAGAUCUUAAUAGAUUUGGAUCGAAACUAGUGAAUGGCUUGUUUCAGGCUUGAUUAAUGUUCAUAAUGGAUAAUAAGUUAUCUUCAAAGACAAAGCUAAUAAGGCUCAAUUCAGUUGUAAGAGUACUACAUAAGAACUGAUUUUGUGCUAGAUAAUCCAAUGGUCAAUGAUCCAGACUAAGAAAUUAAAAAAUAGAAUGUAUUUCUGAUUUGAACUCAUUCAAUAUGUUGAUUGUAGUAUGGAUGCAUGCUCUCUUUCCUUAAAAUAGGCUACUUAAAUCAAUAACUUACUAAUCUGAUAUGACGCAUUUUUACACCAUUGUCUCCUACAUGGGAUCAAGCAACUUCUCAAUGAUUUUCAAUUCAUUCAAAAUAAAUUGGCUUCAUGACUAAUUCGAAGAAGAACUCCUGCCCCCAACAAAAUAUUAACAAUAAUAAUAAUAAUAAUGAUAAUUUGUCCCUGCAAAAGAAAUUUAUACCACCUUUGUUUCUAUCUCAAUGAGUUAGCAGCUUUUACUGCAUUUGGAUAUAUCAUAUUUGUGGUUAUAACUUUCAAAAGUGCAUGGCAUGGAGCUUUUACAAAAUGGCGCACCUUGAUGAUGAGAUUUCCUGACAACUCAUGCUCUUUACAAGCUCUGAUUGUUGACUGCAUGAAAUAUCUUCAAAUAAAUGUGUUUGUCUAGGUCAACUUAGUUUUUAAUUCUGUCUGUCUGUCUUUUAACAUUAGAUUGGAGCACUCCCGGUACAAAUUUCACCAUCUACUUUUGUCAGUCAAUGAGUUUCAAAUUUGCUCUCUCUCUAGUACAAUAUAAUAUAUACAUAUAUGAAAAUCCUGCUAAAUAGAUUUGUGUAUUGACACAAGUAUUUUAUCUACUAGGAUUUUCUUUCCUUUCUGUUGUUUCAUUUAACAGCCAGAAAUGUGCUUCAUCUUCAUAGUUGUUUCUUGCUGCACCAUGAUCAAUAGUUGCUGCUAUAAUAGACUUGGUUAUGGAAUUCUUAUUUUCUAACAAUAUGAAUUUUAUUGUUGAUCAUAUAUGCCACUGUUCUAGAAUGGCUUCCCAUCAAUUUUAAGUUGGAUAAUUUAGCACCACCUUUUUUGUUUUUCUUUUCUGCGGUUGCUUUUUUCAUUUUAUACCUUAUCUUUUUCAUUUUCAGUGAAAGGUAUAAUAGUUUGCAUAAACUUGUGGAAGACGCAUAUAGCUGAAAUGCGUGGAGAACUAAGGAUAUCGAAGAUGGGACAACAUACUUUCUCAUCUGAUAUCCAUCCCUGAUGAUUCACAAAUGAAUUGGGAUGAGGCCUGCUUCUAGCCAACUUCAUAUAUUUCAUGAUAUGAAUACAUUAUUUAAUUGUUUUACUUUUUUAACUACUUUAAUACUUGAACAUCCUGAUAUAGUUUCAAAAUAUUUUUCAUAUUUAUCGUUUUUAAUGUUAGACUAUAUUAGUGUGUUUUGAUAUUUUAAAUUGCAGAAUUGUAAAUUAAAAUAUAUGUGUACAUGUUAUUACAACAGGUUUAAGAAUACAAUAGAAAAAAGGAGAUAAAUUAGCUUCAAUGGAGCCAUUAGUGACCAAUCAACCAUAAUUUUCCAAUCAACUUAGCGAUCAAAUGUCCAUAUCAAUGACCAAAUUGUAAAUUGUUGAGAUUAUUUCUAUAAAUAGCCUAGAUUUGUACUGAUAAUUAGGGAUAUGAUUGUGUGAUAUGAUUGGGAUAUGAUUAGGCUAUAAUUAGAUAAUUAAGUUAUUUUCUUACUUAGUAUGUUCUCUUGUAAGUAAUAUAUAUACCCCAAUUGGCUUGAGGGGAAUAAUCAAGUAUUUUCUCUCAAAUCUUCUGCUUUCUUUUUCUUCUUUUCAUCAAAGGUUUCAUAAAUGAUAACUGAAAUUCUGUUCCAUUUUACUACCAAUUAGCAAUGACACAGCGACCAAAAUAGCUACCAAUUUACGACCAAAUAGUGACCAAUUUGCGCUCACUAGUUAACGACCCAAUUGCGACAAAUUUAGCAAUCAAAUUUUCGGUUGUCAACUUUAUUCAAGCACUCGAUUAGCGACCAAUAUUUGGUCGCUAAAUAAUGAUCAAAAUGAUUUGGGUCGCUAAAUAAUUAGUGGCAGGCCAAACACCAACCACUCUUUUGUGGUCGCCAAUUGGUUGCUAUUUACGAAUAACAAUCAAUUUUUGUCAUUGAGCUGACCAAAAUUUUAGUCGCUAUUUCAGUUUUUUUUGUAACUAUGGUUCUAACGUGUUAAAGUAAUUGACUAAUAUGUCACCAACAUCUCAGCAACAUCUUAAAAUUAGUACAAUUAUAGAAAAUUUCCCAAUUUAUGCCAACUCUAAUAGAAAAACUUUUUUCAUAUCGUCAUGUGAGGCAAACCAACAUAAUUAAUGGAUAAACCAAGUGUGUGCUAGCAACUGCAAUAAAGUCUUAGCCCUUAAUAGCUAAGCAAAGAUAAAAUGUAAAUCAGGGAAAUUAUAUCAUUAUGUCACAUUCAAAUAGUUUUGAUCCGACUGAAUUGCUCAACGAGAAUCAAUUAUUAACUGAUUUCAAUAGCUAACAAGAAUUUCUGGAUAGUCCCUGAUUAUUUUCCCAAUAAGCUCUAAAUUAUAACUGAACCAGCUCUAAAUUAUAACUGAACCAUAAAUUUAAUUUUCUUCAAAACUAUGAAUUUUCUUGAGUUCCCUAGGUUGCAUCACCUUUGCAUCUUUGGUGCACCUUGCAUGAUUGAAGUACUCUAAGAUAUCGAGAUUUAGCAUUUUUCAGUUUGAUGUAUGUUAUGCAUUUCACUAUGGGUAGUUGCUCAGUCAAAUAGCAAAAAUUUUGGGUUUGCAACCACAAGGAUGUAAGUUCAAAUCUUGACGGCAAAACUGUUAAAAGUAGAACUCUUUCAGAAUUUUCACUCCCAGGAACAUCCAGAAAUAAAAAAGGAAAUGGCCUUCUCAGUGUUGCAUGUUCACCAGGAAUAUUAUAUAUAGUAUCGGUAACCAUAUGGGAAGCAUUAUGCCAAGAAUUCUGUAGAAAGAUAAUAUUUG
rnacentral:lncRNA from 1 species